rnacentral:rRNA from 1 species
UACGGAGGUAGAGCACUGAAUGUCCUAGGGGGUAUUGCACCUACCGAAGACUAUCAAACUCCGAAUGCCGUCAUCUUAUACUUGGGCGUCAGACUGUGGGUGAUAAGAUUCAUAGUCGAAAGGGCAACAGCCCAGAUCGUCAGCUAAGGUCCCUAAAUGUAAGUUAAGUGGUAAAGGAUGUGGGAUUGCACAGACAACCAGGAUGUUGGCUUAG